rnacentral:lncRNA from 1 species
AUUAUGUGAGAAAUAGAAAGAAGAAGGAUAAAAAAAUUAAAAGCAAAAAUAAAGAGGGACAUGUCUCCUAUAGGAGGAAUAAAACAAUUAAAAGUAAAAUUGCAAAAGUGAAGAUGGUGGCGUGCCUUUCAAAUAGGAGGAGCAUGGAGCAUGGAGCAGAGCUUAACAAAUAAAGGAGCAUGAAGGAGAAUCAAAAAGUAA